rnacentral:ncRNA from 1 species
UCGGCAGCGGGAGGCUCUGACACGCGGUCCACACCCACGGUCGCCGGGACCGCGCCGAGCCACUGGCGAGACCGACCCGCAGGAAG